AUUGAACGCUGGCGGCAGGCCUAACACAUGCAAGUCGAGCGAGCGGCGGACGGGUGAGUAAUGUAUGGGGAUCUGCCCGAUAGAGGGGGAUAACUACUGGAAACGGUGGCUAAUACCGCAUACUAUCCGAUGAACCCAUAUGGGAUUAGCUAGUCGUUGGGGUAAAUGCGAACCUAGGCGACGAUCUCUAGCUGGUCUGAGAGGAUGAUCAGCAGCAAUGGGACUGAGACACGGCCCAGACGCCUACGGGAGGCAGCAGUGGGGAAGAUGGCGCAAUGGGCGCAAGCCUGAUGCAGCCAUGCGGAGUGUAGGAAGAAGGCCUUAGGGUUGUAAAGUACUUUCAGCGGGGAGGCGUUACCCGCAGAAGAAGCACCGGCUAACUCCGUGCCAGCAGCCGCGGUAAUUC
rnacentral:rRNA from 1 species